rnacentral:rRNA from 1 species
CGAACGCUGGCGGCAGGCCUAACACAUGCAAGUCGAGCGCCCCGCAAGGGGAGCGGCAGACGGGAGAGUAACACGUGGGAACGUACCCUUCAGUUCGGAACAACCAAGGGAAACUUUGGCUAAUACCGGAUACGUCCGUAAGGAGAAAGAUUUAUCGCUGAAGGAUCGGCCCGCGUCUGAUUAGCUAGUUGGUGAGGUAAUGGCUCACCAAGGCGACGAUCAGUAGCUGGUCUGAGAGGAUGAUCAGCCUCACUGGGACUGAGACACGGCCCAGACUCCUACGGGAGGCAGCAGUGGGGAAUAUUGGACAAUGGGCGCAAGCCUGAUCCAGCCAUGCCGCGUGGGUGAUGAAGGCCCUAGGGUUGUAAAGCCCUUUCGGCGGGGAAGAUAAUGACGGUACCCGCAGAAGAAGCCCCGGCUAACUUCGUGCCAGCAGCCGCGGUAAUACGAA